GACGAACGCUGGCGGCGUGCCUAAUACAUGCAAGUCGAGCGGACUUUCAAGAAGCUUGCUUUUUGAAAGUUAGCGGCGGACGGGUGAGUAACACGUGGGCAACCUGCCUGCAAGACGGGGAUAACUCCGGGAAACCGGGGCUAAUACCGGAUAAUAUCUUCCUUCGCAUGAAGGAAGGUUGAAAGGCGGCGCAAGCUGCCGCUUGCAGAUGGGCCCGCGGCGCAUUAGCUAGUUGGUGAGGUAACGGCUCACCAAGGCGACGAUGCGUAGCCGACCUGAGAGGGGGAUGGCCACACUGGGACUGAGACACGGCCCAGACUCCUACGGGAGGCAGCAGUAGGGAAUCUUCCGCAAUGGACGAAAGUCUGACGGAGCAACGCCGCGUGAGCGAAGAAGGUCUUCGGAUCGUAAAGCUCUGUUGUCAGGGAAGAACAAGUACCGUUCGAACAGGGCGGUACCUUGACGGUACCUGACCAGAAAGCCACGGCUAACUACGUG
rnacentral:rRNA from 1 species